GAAGCAUUAUUCAAGAAGAUGAGAGCCAAGCUCAAGAAGAGAUCAUCAACACUUCAGCAAGAAGCUUCAUCCAAUCAAGAAGAUCACCGGAACUUGUCUUCAGAGUUCGAGGCCAUGGCGAACAAAUCAAUCUACGAGUUCUCAGCUCCCACUAUGGACAACAUCCGCACUGGACCUGCUGCAGAGAUCGAUGGCAACUUUGAGCUCAAGCCUGGACUUAUCAACAUGGUGCAAUCCAACCA
rnacentral:lncRNA from 1 species